GACGAACGCUGGCGGCGUGCUUAACACAUGCAAGUCGAACGGAAAGGCCCUGCUUUUGUGGGGUGCUCGAGUGGCGAACGGGUGAGUAACACGUGAGUAACCUGCCCUUGACUUUGGGAUAACUUCAGGAAACUGGGGCUAAUACCGGAUAGGAGCUCCUGCUGCAUGGUGGGGGUUGGAAAGUUUCGGCGGUUGGGGAUGGACUCGCGGCUUAUCAGCUUGUUGGUGGGGUAGUGGUUUACCAAGGCUUUGACGGGUAGCCGGCCUGGGAGGGUGACCGGCCACAUUGGGACUGAGAUACGGCCCAGACUCCUACGGGAGGCAGCAGUGGGGAAUAUUGCACAAUGGGCGGAAGCCUGAUGCAGCAACGCCGCGUGCGGGAUGACGGCCUUCGGGUUGUAAACCGCUUUCGCCUGUGACGAAGCGUGAGUGACGGUAAUGGGUAAAGAAGCACCGGCUAACUACGUA
rnacentral:rRNA from 1 species